rnacentral:rRNA from 1 species
GAUGAACGCUGGCGGCGUGCCUAAUACAUGCAAGUCGAGCGAACGGACGAGAAGCUUGCUUCUCUGAUGUUAGCGGCGGACGGGUGAGUAACACGUGGAUAACCUACCUAUAAGACUGGGAUAACUUCGGGAAACCGGAGCUAAUACCGGAUAAUAUUUUGAACCGCAUGGUUCAAAAGUGAAAGACGGUCUUGCUGUCACUUAUAGAUGGAUCCGCGCUGCAUUAGCUAGUUGGUAAGGUAACGGCUUACCAAGGCAACGAUGCAUAGCCGACCUGAGAGGGUGAUCGGCCACACUGGAACUGAGACACGGUCCAGACUCCUACGGGAGGCAGCAGUAGGGAAUCUUCCGCAAUGGGCGAAAGCCUGACGGAGCAACGCCGCGUGAGUGAUGAAGGUCUUCGGAUCGUAAAACUCUGUUAUUAGGGAAGAACAUAUGUGUAAGUAACUGUGCACAUCUUGACGGAACCUAAGCAGAAAGCCACGGCUAACUACGU